rnacentral:rRNA from 1 species
UACGAAGGGGGGCUAGCGUUGCUCGGAAUGACUGGGCGUAAAGGGCGCGUAGGCGGAUGGCACAGUCAGAUGUGAAAUCCCCGGGCUUAACCUGGGAAUUGCAUUUGUGACUGCACGGCUAGAGUGUGUCAGAGGGGGGUAGAAUUCCACGUGUAGCAGUGAAAUGCGUAGAGAUGUGGAGGAACACCGAUGGCGAAGGCAGCCCCCUGGGUCAAGAUUGACGCUCAUGCACGAAAGCGUGGGGGAGCAAACAGG